rnacentral:lncRNA from 1 species
CUCCCUGGGUGGUGACCUUUUCCAAAUCAGCCUAACUUUUGUUCAGAGUUCUCUUUGGGGGCCAAGACUGGCUUAGCUGAGGCCAUGAUAACUCACAAAUCUUCCUGAGUGUCUUUGGUUUUAAUUUUACCCCACAAAGCCUUCAUCAACAUUUUGAAUCAUACAUGUAAGAACAGUUGAUUUAGUAUUUGCAUUUCCAUGGUCACUUGAUAUUCCCUGUUGGUGAUGCAGGUCAAACAAAGGGUGGGGCCCAUCUGAGCUAAGGAACACUGUCUCAUCAGUGUUCCAUUUUGCUCAUAUUAGAUGUUGGCCACAGAAUCACACAAACAGGACACACACAAGCUCUGUGAUUCAGGCAUAUUCUGCAAUGCAGUUGCUGCAAUGAACUUACCUUUGAAAAGCUGAAAAAGAGCCGAGCUGGGAGUGAGAAGGAAGCAGGCAGGG